rnacentral:tRNA from 1 species
GACCAUGUGGCUCAGUUGGUAGAGCAUAAGACUCUGAGCAUUGAGAUUGUGGGUUCAAGCCCGCAGUGGGCA